rnacentral:lncRNA from 1 species
CCAUAUAGACUACAUCCGAGGAACUCACAAAGUAAAUACUCUCGAGCCCUCAUAUACCUAUACCAUUAUUUUACCCUUCUCAUAAUACCUAUAUUGUUUCCGAAUAGUUUGUACUUAGACAUCGAAGGCUUCCUGUUGGACAUUUUCCAACUUCCAUUGUACUGUUUCAAGUCAGAUUUGAUACUAUCGCGAAGGUGUUCUGUCACGCCCUCGACCCGAGAUUUGAAUCGAGGGUUAUGGCAACCACCGCAUACUUAUAGAAAACCUUUUCCAUA